GAUUUAAGAUUAGGAUUAAAGUUUAAUUAGGAUUAGAUUUAGGAUUAGAAUUUGAUUAGGAUUUGAUUUAGGAUUAUAAUUUGGUUUAGAAUUUAGGAUUUGGUUAGGAUUUGGUUUAAGAUUAGGGUUUGAUUUAGGGUUUAGGAUUUGGUCAAGAUUUGAUUUAAGAUUAAGAUUUGGUUAAGAUUUAUUUCAUAAUUUAGGAUUUAAUUAAGAUUUGAUUUAGGAUUUAGGAUUAAAGAUUUGGUAAAGAUUUGAUUUAGAAUUAGGAUUUGGUUUAGGAUUUAGGAUUUGUUUUAGGAUUUAGGAUUUAGUUAAGGCUUGAUUUAGGAUUUAGGGUUUGGUUUAGGAUUUAAGGUUUGAUUAGGGUUUGAUCAGGAUUUGAUUUAGGGUUUAGGAUUUUAUUUAAAUUUAUUUAGGAUGUAAGAUUUAGUUAGUUUUUGGCCUAAAGUUUGAAUGAAUUCUAAUAAGAUUUCAACUAGGAUUAUAUUAAGAUUGAAUUGAGAUAUAUUUGAGAUAUGUUUAAAAUCAUUC
rnacentral:lncRNA from 1 species